ensembl:snRNA U4 U4 spliceosomal RNA
AGCUUUGUGCAGUGGCAGUAUCAUAGCCAAUAAGGUUUAUCUGAGGUGUGAUUAUUGCUAAUUAAAAUUAUACAUAAAUUUAAGAUGACAUUGCAAUGAAAUUUGAAAUCAAA